UGGGGAAUAUUGCACAAUGGGCGAAAGCCUGAUGCAGCAACGCCGCGUGAGGGACGACGGCCUUCGGGUUGUAAACCUCUUUUAGCAAGGAAGAAGCGAAAGUGACGGUACUUGCAGAAAAAGCGCCGGCUAACUACGUGCCAGCAGCCGCGGUAAUACGUAGGGCGCAAGCGUUAUCCGGAAUUAUUGGGCGUAAAGAGCUCGUAGGCGGUUUGUCGCGUCUGCUGUGAAAACCCGAGGCUCAACCUCGGGCCUGCAGUGGGUACGGGCAGACUAGAGUGCGGUAGGGGAGAUUGGAACUCCUGGUGUAGCGGUGGAAUGCGCAGAUAUCAGGAAGAACACCGAUGGCGAAGGCAGAUCUCUGGGCCGUAACUGACGCUGAGGAGCGAAAGGGUGGGGAGCAAACAGGGCUUAGAAUGACCCUGGUAGUCCACCCCGUAAACGUUGGGAACUAGUUGUGGGGUCCAUUCCACGGAUUCCGUGACGCAGCUAACGCAUUAAGUUCCCCGCCUGGGGAGUACGGCCGCAAGGCUAAACU
rnacentral:rRNA from 1 species